rnacentral:rRNA from 1 species
GAUGAACGCUAGCGGCAGGCUUAAUACAUGCAAGUCGAGGGGCAGCAGGGUGUAGCAAUACAUCGCUGGCGACCGGCAAACGGGUGCGGAGCACGUACGCAACUUACCCAAAACUGGGGGAUAGCCCGGGGAAACCCGGAUUAAUACCUCGUAACAUUAUGGAGUGGCAUCACUCUAUAAUUAUAGCUCCGGCGGUUUUGGAUGGCGUGCGCCUGAUUAGGUAGUUGGUUGAGGUAACGGCUCACCAAGCCUGCGAUCAGUAACUGGUGUGAGAGCACGACCAGUCACACGGGCACUGAGACACGGGCCCGACUCCUACGGGAGGCAGCAGUAAGGAAUAUUGGUCAAUGGACGCAAGUCUGAACCAGCCAUGCCGCGUGAAGGAUGAAGGUCCUCUGGAUUGUAAACUUCUUUUAUAUGGGACGAAACCCAGGAAUUCCUUCCCGAUUGACGGUACCAUAAGAAUAAGCACCGGCUAACUCCGUGCCAGCCGCCGCCGUAAAAC